rnacentral:rRNA from 1 species
GUACACUCCUGCGGGAGGCAGCAGUGGGGAAUUUUGGACAAUGGGCGAAAGCCUGAUCCAGCAAUGCCGCGUGCAGGAUGAAGGCCUUCGGGUUGUAAACUGCUUUUGUACGGAACGAAAAAGCUCCUUCUAAUACAGGGGGCCCAUGACGGUACCGUAAGAAUAAGCACCGGCUAACUACGUGCCAGCAGCCGCGGUAAUACGUAGGGUGCGAGCGUUAAUCGGAAUUACUGGGCGUAAAGCGUGCGCAGGCGGUUAUGUAAGACAGAUGUGAAAUCCCCGGGCUCAACCUGGGAACUGCAUUUGUGACUGCAUGGCUAGAGUACGGUAGAGGGGGAUGGAAUUCCGCGUGUAGCAGUGAAAUGCGUAGAUAUGCGGAGGAACACCGAUGGCGAAGGCAAUCCCCUGGACCUGUACUGACGCUCAUGCACGAAAGCGUGGGGAGCAAACAGGAUUAGAAACCCCAGUAGUCCCAUG